UGCCAGCCGCCGCGGUAAUACGGAGGGCGCAAGCGUUGUUCGGAAUCACUGGGCAUAAAGAGCAUGUAGGCGGUCUAUUAAGUCGGAUGUGAAAGCCCUCGGCCCAACCGGGGAACUGCAUUCGAUACUGAUAGACUUGAGGACAGGAGGGGUGAGUGGAACUUCAGGUGGAACGGUGAAAUGUGUAGAUAUCUGAAGGAACACCGGUGGCGAAAGCGGCUCACUGGCCUGUCUCUGACGCUGAGAUGCGAAAGCUAGGGUAGCGAACGGGAUUAGAUA
rnacentral:rRNA from 1 species